UAGGUCAGGGCGCUCGGGUGGCGCAGCAGCUUGCGCCAGCCGUGGCCGGUGAUGUUGGCGCAGUAAUGCGGCGCGAUGCCGGCCUUCCAC
rnacentral:SRP_RNA from 1 species